rnacentral:rRNA from 1 species
AACGAAUUUAUAAUCCGGCGAGGGGAAGGACGAGAGUUGUCGCUGGCCUUUCGCGAGGCAUGUGCACGCUUUCUUCUGGACUUUCGCCGUAUGGGCGCGGGGCCACCCGCGUCUUCAUGCACCUCUUCGUGUAGAAAGUCUUUGAAUGUUAUACCAUCAUCGAGUCGCGACUUCUAGGAGACGCGAUUCUUUGAGACAAAAGUUAUUACAACUUUCAGCAACGGAUCUCUUGGCUCUCGCAUCGAUGAAGAACGCAGCGAAUCGCGAUAUGUAAUGUGAAUUGCAGAUCUACAGUGAAUCAUCGAAUCUUUGAACGCACCUUGCGCUCCUCGGUGUUCCGAGGAGCAUGCCUGUUCGAGUGUCAGUAAAUUCUCAACUCCUCUCGAUUUGUUUCGAGCGGACGUUUGGAUAGUGGGGGCUGCCGGAGACCUGGAUUUAUUUCAGGACUCGGGCUCUCCUGAAAUGCAUCGGCUUGCGGUCGACUUUCGACUUUGCAUGACAAGGCCUUCGGCGUGAUAAUGAUC